AGGUGGUCUUGUCAAUGAACUUUAAUUGCUGAAACCAAAUAAAAUAGGUCUAUUUUCGUUGAAUGUAAAGAAUGUGAUUAACGUGUAUGACAAUGGCUGAGUUAGGCUCCUGGAGAUGGACGACACAUUAAUAUUCUGCCGUUUGACAAAUUUAUCUGCUUGCAUGUCAAAGUUGAUGGUGAUUAAGGAGAACAUGUCCAUAAGUGAAUAGGCACGGAAGGUUGCAUUUAAUGUGUCUUUUUCACACACACCUUACAGGAAAUGUAAUAAAAUCCAAUUGGGCGGGAUAAUUGGAUUUCAUGUUGACCAAAAUGAAAGUGAUUUGACUAAUACGUAUGUACAUGUUAUUAGCCGCGUAAGACAAGAAACUUUGGCCGCAAUUAGAUAAUCACGUCUUUAUACUCAGCUUGUACUUGAUUUAUACUCAAUUUGGUUUGUCAUUCGAACAGACUUACUUUGAUACAACGGUUAAUGGUUCGGUUUUUCCGAAAUUCGGUUGGCAUAAUCGCCCUGUUGGAUAAAGAGUAUACUCAUAGACGACGUUUGAUGCGCACUGUACCAACUACACUAUUGCUGUUGUGAAGCAGAGUACCGAAGAAGACCGGAAUGAGCCCAUUCGCCAUCGCGUGCAACAAUUGGAGCGGUGCCCAUCCAUUCUAUAGACGAUUUUGUGGAAUUAAAUUGGUUUGAGGGCUUAUAAAAUCCCAUUCGUGCAAGAAUUAAAGCCGAACGAUCAUCAAGCGCAGCAUCAAACAGCGAGGAAGCUCUCUCUUGCUGGCAUGGUAGCGAUAAUAAACGAAAUCUACGGGCCGAGGGAAUCAUUCUUACAUAUUUCUUCAAAAAUGAAACUAGCCGUAAUGUUACAGUCAAUGGGUAACGCCUUGAAGUCAUGAUUGAUGAAUGUUUUGUGCCUGAAUUGGAUGAACCUGAUGAGGACGAUCUUUGGCUCCAAUAAGACUGCGGUACCCGUCUGACAUAAUAUAAUAUAACUG